CUCCCUGUUAUUACUAGUUGCCCUUAGACUGGUGCUAAAGGCCUUGUCAGCAAAGACAGAAACAGAAAACAUUGCAGGAUAGAGCAAUGGCCAUAGCAACAACAUCACAUUAAUCAGAGUCUGUAGUCUAUGCAAAGACAAACUUCCCAAACCAACAAACUGCACACCAACAAGUUCCCUUUCUGUCCAGAAACUAGAAACCCCGAGGUAUUUGCUCUUAGACCUCCCUUCUCCAGUGACAGUCCUUCAGCAGAGGGAGACUCCAGGCUUUGCAUCAUGGGCUGUACCCAAAGACCAAAUAGGGAUGAUGUAGCUGUGGAAGGCUGA
rnacentral:lncRNA from 1 species